UCCUCUAAAUCUCUCUCAGUUUCGCAUGUCUCGCUGAAUAGAAGAUGAUCAUGUAUCGGAAUCGGACAUGUGAUCUUGAUUCAUGUCUCUGAAUUCUUCUUUCUAAUUUCUGUCGAUCUCGUAGGGUUUUUCUCUGGUGGAUCGCAAGUAGGAAUUUUUGAGUUUCUGAUCUUGUCUGGGCAUAUUUCCAUGGUUUUUGGUGAUGGAAUUCGACAUGUGUUCUUGUGAUUCGGACAUAGAUGGGCUUGCUGGAGAACUUUUCCACGAUGUUUGGAAAACAUGACUUGCUUAGAAGAUAGAUAAUCAGGAGCUGCGAAUUGGCUCCUGCAAGGCUGCAACUGUUAUGUUUCUAUUGCAAUCAAAUCUCUGCGAUUUGUCUUCCCGCCAGAUAAUUUACCGGGGAAGGAUGUUUCUUAGUCAAAUAUAUCUCUUCUGAUGCCCGUUUUGAUCUGUCUGUUCAGAGAGGAGCAAAAUUCUCUGCAUAAUAUGGUUGCUCCAUUAAGGAGCUUGAAAGAGGAAGGCAGGGUCCAAGUAUGAAUAUAUUCAGGGAAAGUACACUCAUCUACACCUAUCAUUCUGAUCAGUUCUUAUCUCUUGAGACAGGAUUGAAUCUUUGAACCCUUCUCUACAUUCCACUCAUUUUAUUUCAUCGAAGUAUAUCACAUGUAGCCUUUGUUCCUGCAAUUCCUUCAACGUUAUGUUCGCAGUUCAAGAAAUAAGCUCACAGACCAAGUUUGGGUGGUGUAGUGGUAUAAAAACAUGAAAAAUAUGUUCUUAUCCCGGAUUCAAAUCUAAUAGUGGGAAGGGUCAUUCAUCCGUACUUCUUCGGUAGUCUGGGAGAUGUAGUUGAACCAAAUGUAUAGUGAACUUACGGAUUAUCAACAAACAAAAAAAGCUCACACCAUUUCUCUUUUCAGUUUUGCAAUGCAUAAACCCUGGAUUACUUGUUA